rnacentral:rRNA from 1 species
GACGAACGCUGGCGGCGUGCUUAACACAUGCAAGUCGAGCGGUAAGGCCCUUUCGGGGGUACACGAGCGGCGAACGGGUGAGUAACACGUGGGUGACCUGCCCUCAGCUCUGGGAUAAGCCUGGGAAACCGGGUCUAAUACUGGAUAUGACUCCAUGACGCAUGUUGUGGGGUGGAAAGCCUUGUGCGGCUGAGGAUGGGCCCGCGGCCUAUCAGCUUGUUGGGGGGUG